ACGGAAGGCAGCAGUGAGGAAUAUUGGUCAAUGGGCGGAAGCCUGAACCAGCCAAGUCGCGUGAAGGAUGAAGGUAUUAUGUAUUGUAAACUUCUUUAGACGUAGAGAAAUAAGAGGCUCGUGAGCCUUGAUGCUAGUAUACGUAGAAUAAGGAUCGGCUAACUCCGUGCCAGCAGCCGCGGUAAUACGGAGGAUCCGAGCGUUAUCCGGAUUUAUUGGGUUUAAAGGGUGCGCAGGCGGCCCUGUAAGUCAGCGGUUAAAUCGUGGAGCUCAACUCCAUCCCGCCGUUGAUACUGCAGGGCUUGAUUGCGGUCGAGGUUGGCGGAAUUCGCCGUGUAGCGGUGAAAUGCAUAGAUAUGGCGAAGAACUCCGAUUGCGUAGGCAGCUGACCAGGCCGUAAAUGACGCUCAUGCACGAAAGUGCGGGGAUCGGACAGGAUUAGAUACCCUGGUA
rnacentral:rRNA from 1 species